AAGCGGCCACAAGGAUGGCAGGCUUCGCGGAGCUCGGGCUGUCAUCGUGGCUCGUGGAACAAUGUCGGCAGCUGGGUUUGAAGCAGCCCACGCCCGUGCAGCUCGGCUGCAUCCCCGCCAUCCUGGAGGAAGCUGUCUGAGGAUCCCUAUGGCAUCUUCUGCCUCGUCCUGACACCCACCAGGGGUCCUGCAGAAUUAAACAAGAUGGCCCCGGUGCAGUGGCUCACACCUGUAAUCCCAGCACUUUGGGAGCUCCAGGGAGCUGGCCUACCAGAUCGCAGAGCAGUUCCGGGUCCUGGGGAAGCCUCUAGGGCUGAAAGACUGCAUCAUCGUCGGUGGCAUGGACAUGGUGGCCCAGGCGCUGGAGCUCUCUCGGAAACCACACGUGGUCAUCGCCACGCCGGGGCGCCUGGCAGAUCACCUGCGCAGCUCCAACACUUUUAGUAUAAAGAAGAUCCGCUUCCUGGUGAUGGAUGAGGCAGACCGGCUGCUGGAACAGGGCUGCACUGACUUCACCGUGGACCUGGAGGCCAUCCUGGCGGCUGUGCCGGCCCGCA
rnacentral:lncRNA from 10 species